GUCUUUUAGAUAAUAAUUUAAAGUCUGGCCUGCCCACUGAAUAAUAAUUUAAAGGGCCGCGGUAUUUUGACUGUGCAAAGGUAGCAUAAUCAUUAGUCUUUUAAUUGAAGGCUUGUAUGAAUGGUUGGAUGAAAUAUUAACUGUCUCAAAUUAAUAAGAUAGAAUUUAAUUUUUAAGUUAAAAAGCUUAAAUAUUAUUAGAGGACGAGAAGACCCUAUAGAUUUUUAUAAUUUUUUAUUUAUAAAUAAUUUGGUUGAUAAAAAUUUUUAGAUAAAAAAUUAUUUUAUUGGGGUGAUAAAUAAAUUUAAUAAACUUUAUAAAAUAUAAACAUUAAUGUAUGAAUUGUUGAUCCAUUUUUAGUGAUUAUAAGAUUAAAUUACCUUAGGGAUAACAGCGUAAUUUUUUUAGAGAGUUCAUAUCGAUAAAAAAGUUUGCGACCUCGAUGUUGAAUUAAAGAUUAAUUUAGGUGUAGAAGUUUAAAUUUUUGGUCUGUUCGACCAUUGAAUC
rnacentral:rRNA from 1 species